rnacentral:lncRNA from 1 species
UCAAUUGCUGCAGUAAUAUCAAUAUUUAUUCCCUUGCUCCUUGUGUCUUGUUUUAUUUUUGUUCCUCUUUUUCUAUUAGGCAUAAAAUAAUAUCUAAAACCUAUGCUAUUGUGCAGUAUAUUUGUUUUUGUUCUAGACAUCCUUGCUUUUCCCUAGUUAAUUUUAAUCUCAAAUCCUCUCCUUUCUCAGGUAAACAGUAGUUAACUCUUUCAGUAGUGCAAUUACUUUCAUAGAAUGAAUUCUCAAUCAAUCUAGUACAACAUUCCUAAUAAGUUCUGUAUCUUAUUUAAUCAAAGAGUGACCUCAGAACUAUAUUAUGUAUUUUGAGUUUUAACUGCUUCACUACUGGUGAAUACAUAAAAAUAGUAUUUAUCCAUUGUAUUCACCAGCAGCGAAGCAACCAAACCUAAAAAGUGUCAUUAUUAUAAAGGUAUUGAACUGUCUAGAAAUGUUGUACUUGAUACAUCAGGUUACAUUCUUUUAAUAAGAAAUAUUUGCCUGCCCCACGUAGCAUUACCUGAGAUUCCUGAUAAUUUGUUUUUGUGAAAAGUAAAAGAGUGCUCUGGUUAGCAGCUCAUCCAUGCAUUCUUUUUAUAGAGCAGCAGAGAUGAUUUGCCCUGGAGUGGAGUCAGAUUAACAGGAACAUCUGUCUCAGUCAUUCACAAAAGAGAACUGCACAGUAUCUGUUUGAACGUUACCAGUUCUUCCAAGAGCGAGCAGUCACAACUGUAUCAACAUAAUCAAUAUGCCUAAAGAAAUUAAAAUACACUCUUCUGUGGUAAGGAUGCUUGAAGUUCCCAAAUGCAAUACAGCAUCAAUUACAUUCCAACUCACGUGCAAGUCUGUGGACAAAAUUCUUCAUAGGGGACCUCUAAGCUACUUCUGAAAGAGCUGGGAUCCUUCACAAUAAAGCCUCCUGAAGAAAUGCA